rnacentral:lncRNA from 1 species
UGAUUACGGAAAAGGUUUUUUUUUAAUUGACUAUGAAUAUAAAAUAUUUACAAAUGAUUUAAUAGUUUAAUUUCCCUAAUUAAAUAUAAUUAAACUAAUUAGCCUAAACUAAAAAAAAUUAAAUAAUAAAGUGAAACCAAACGGGUGUAGGUUGAAUAUGGGAAUGAGAAGUUAGCACCAUUAGGGACCUAAAGCCCAAAUCAAGUACUUAAAACCUAAUUAAAAUAAAUAUUAAUAAAUAAAAAUAAAAACUAAUUAAUUUAAAAAUUUAACAUCACUCAAACUGAAAGAACAACUAAAUCACUUUAGUUUAAUAAGAUAAACAUAUAUAUAAAAU